rnacentral:misc_RNA from 1 species
GCAAACUUGGUCAUUUAGAGGAAGUAAAAGUCGUAACAAGGUCUCCGUUGGUGAACCAGCGGAGGGAUCAUUAAAGAGUCUAAACAACUCCCAAACCCAUGUGAACAUACCUCUCGUUGCCUCGGCCGGCUUCCGCGCCUCGCGGGCCCAAAGCCUGCCGGCGGCCCAACAAACUCUGUUUUAUUAAUAAGCACUAUGAAUUUAUAACCUAAUACGUUAAAACUUUCAACAACGGAUCUCUUGGUUCUGGCAUCGAUGAAGAACGCAGC